AACGAACGCUGGCGGCAUGCCUAACACAUGCAAGUCGAACGAGAUCUUCGGGUCUAGUGGCGCACGGGUGCGUAACGCGUGGGAAUCUGCCCUUUGGUUCGGAAUAACAGUUGGAAACGACUGCUAAUACCGGAUGAUGACGAAAGUCCAAAGAUUUAUCGCCAGAGGAUGAGCCCGCGUAGGAUUAGCUAGUUGGUGUGGUAAAGGCGCACCAAGGCGACGAUCCUUAGCUGGUCUGAGAGGAUGAUCAGCCACACUGGGACUGAGACACGGCCCAGACUCCUACGGGAGGCAGCAGUGGGGAAUAUUGGACAAUGGGCGAAAGCCUGAUCCAGCAAUGCCGCGUGAGUGAUGAAGGCCUUAGGGUUGUAAAGUUCUUUUACCCGGGACGAUAAUGACGGUACCGGGAGAAUAAGCUCCGGCUAACUCCGUGCCAGCAGCCGCAGUAA
rnacentral:rRNA from 1 species